UAACAGGAUCCCUAGUAACUGCGAGUGAAGCGGGAAAAGCUCAAAUUUAAAAUCUGGCGGUCUUAGGCUGUCCGAGUUGUAAUCUAGAGAAGUGUUAUCCGCGCUGGACCGUGUACAAGUCUCCUGGAAUGGAGCGUCAUAGAGGGUGAGAAUCCCGUCUUUGACACGGACUGCCAGGGCUUUGUGAUGCGCUCUCAAAGAGUCGAGUUGUUUGGGAAUGCAGCUCAAAAUGGGUGGUAAAUUCCAUCUAAAGCUAAAUAUUGGCGAGAGACCGAUAGCGAACAAGUACCGUGAGGGAAAGAUGAAAAGAACUUUGGAAAGAGAGUUAAACAGUACGUGAAAUUGCUGAAAGGGAAACGCUUGAAGUCAGUCGCGUUGGCCGGGGAUCAACCUUGCUUUUGCUGGGCGUACUUCCCGGUUGAUGGGUCAGCAUCAAUUUUGACCGUUGGAUAAAGGUUAGGGGAAUGUGGCAUCUUCGGAUGUGUUAUAGCCCUUGGUCGCAUACAACGGUUGGGAUUGAGGAACUCAGCACGCCGCAAGGCCGAGUAUUUAUACUACGUUCGUGCUUAGGAUGCUGGCAUAAUGGCUUUAAUCGACCCGUCUUGAAACACGGACCAAGGAGUCUAACAUGCCUGCGAGUGUUUGGGUGGAAAACCCGAGCGCGUAAUGAAAGUGAAAGUUGAGAUCCCUGUCGUGGGGAGCAUCGACGCCCGGACCAGACCUUUUGUGACGGCUCCGCGGUAGAGCAUGUAUGUUGGGACCCGAAAGAUGGUGAACUAUGCCUGAAUAGGGUGAAGCCAGAGGAAACUCUGGUGGAGGCUCGUAGCGAUUCUGACGUGCAAAUCGAUCGUCAAAUUUGGGUAUAGGGGCGAAAGACUAAUCGAACCAUCUAGUAGCUGCUCUGCGGAG
rnacentral:rRNA from 1 species